AUCUCUCCCUUACUAACCCAUGAUACAAAUACACACCAACUACACAUCAGGAUUUUAUAAAUAACGUUGACGCUUUGCUUACAUACAUACAUAUAGCGAGAUGGGGUUUUUCCUCGGGUCGGUACAAAAGGAACAGAAAAGGUUAAGACUCUGCCAUGUCCCACCUAAAAUCUCAAAAAGGAACUCCGACCUCUAACAUCAUAUGAGCACAAAAACCCUCCCAUCACGAGCGUCAACUAUCUAUACCAAAAAGCGGUCUAGCUCCUACUCCUCGCGUGCGAUCUCACACCCAUCCCGGUGCGUCAGGUGGUGGCGGCGGCAGCAUCCCUCGCAUAGCACCAUCUCGACGGACGUGCACGGACAAAAACUCUUGUAUGACAGGGCCCCCAGCCAGGCCGAUAUCAUACAUGACUAAGCAUCGUACUCGGAUAAAAGUCAAUCCGGGUACCGAGGGACAGUCUAUCUCAGUCAUCUCCACCUCGACGUCAGACGGAAUACCGUAAAACACGCCACGCGAAACAGCAGGCAGUGGCAUAGUGCUAAUCUGAAAUGUUAUCCCCAAAAGGGGUGAGUACAACCACUCAGCAGAUAGGGAAAUCCAAUCACAACUCAGUGCACCAUGCAUACCAUCAUACAAUUCAGGCAUCACUUACCUUUUUGAUGACAAGCGUAUUCAUGCAUCAUCAUAGCAUACAUAUCAUCAUUAACCAUGCAUCACCAUGCAUAUCACAUCAUAUCAUCAUUAACCAUGCAUCACCAUGCAUAUCACAUCAUCAUUAACCAUGCAUCACCAUGCAUAUCACAUCAUAUCAUCAUUGGCCAUGCAUCACCAUGCAUAUCACAUCAUCAUUAACCAUGCAUCACCAUGCAUAUCACAUCAUAUCAUCAUUGACCAUGCAUCACCAUGCAUAUCACAUCAUCAUUAGCCAUGCAUCACAAUGCAUAUCACAUCAUAGAUCAAUUUCCAUUUUUAUUUAUCAAUUGAUCCCCACAUUAUCUUUUCUCAAAUCAUCACCAUCCCUUCGGGCAGAAACCUCCGACAGGGUAUCAUUAUCAAUCCUUCGGGCAGAAACCUCCGACAGGAUUCCAUGAUCAAUUUGAUCAUCACCCUUCGGGCAGAAACCUCCGACAGGGUUCCCAGUAUCCCAGCCAUCUCAUGGCCACUGGGCUUCCGGCCCCCCACAUUCCGGGCAUCUCGCACCUCAACUAGCAUCACGAGGAACCUCCCUUCGGGCAGAAACCUCCGACAGGGACUUCCGGUCUUUACCCUUCUAACCGGGGAUCUCGCACCCUAAUCCUGGCAUCGCGAGUCACUCCCUUCGGACAGAAACCUCCGACAGGGCUUCCGGCCCCCCACAUUCCGGGCAUCCUGAAACUCCCAGGGAAUCUCUGGAAUUACACCACCAGGCCACCAGACAACAUCCUCCGCCACAACCUCUUACUCACAUACCACUUUCCACUUUUUUUAUCAUCCUUUUCAUCUUAUUAUUUCAUGGCAUAUGAAUCACACACACGCAUCAUGAUUCAUAAUCAUACAUGCAUCAAUGCCAUAUAACAAUGCAUCAUAUUCAUGUGCAUACAUACACCCAUGUCAUAUAACAAUGCAUUAUAACUCAAUAAAAAUCUUGGCCAAUAAAAUAAUCCACUUUUUAUUUUAUUAUUAUUUUAUUAUUAUAUUUAUUUAUUUUCAUAAAUAUUUUAUUUAAUAUUUAUGAUUUUCCAAAAAAAUCAUAAUAUUCAAACAAUCAUUAAAAAAAACAAUUAAAAUCACAAUUUCACACAAAUUCAUGGUCAAAUUUGCAUUUCACAUAAUUUCCCAAAUUUCCACAAAAUACACACAAUAUUCGGAUAAUGGCCAGAUUACACAGUUUUCAAAUUUAUUCAAUUAAAAUACUCAUAUGACCUCCGAAAAUUCCCAAAUUUUACAGGGUGAUAGAAAACACAUUUUCGUGCAUUCUUCAUGUAGAACUCUUUGCCAAAUUCUUUAUAGAUUAAUUUAUACAACUCCAUGAAGCUUCUGGAACCUCUACCGUUUCGUCCAGAACGUACAUCACCGAAGAACUUAGGUUUGACCCAUCAAAUCUCUUUCUUUUCUUCUGAAAUUCGAGUAUGUUAUGUAUCAAUGUGUCCUUUACAAGUUUCAUGAAGAUAUCUAGGUUAAAUAACCAAAGCAUGAUCCUCUUUUAAGUCCUUGAAGCCUCGGGUAUCUCGGUUCACUUCAACCGAACCAAACAUCUCAAAGAUCCAGCCGAUUAACUAGGCUAUACUUGUUCAUUUCUCUUCAAAUUUGAGUAUGUUGUAUUUUAGGAUGUUACCAACAACUUCCAUGAAGACAACAAAGUGAGAUCUCCAACAGAAAUCAACAUGCAACCAAGAAAUCAUCAAGAGGUCAGUAGGAAAUUCGCAGAUCUGAAGUCUCCGUAUAACAGAGCUUUUGACCCCUCAUAUCACCUUCGUUUUCCAUGAAAUUCGAGUAUGUCAUAACUCAAGAUGUUAGCUUCAACUUUCAUGAAGACACCGAAGCCAAAAUCACACUCCAAAUACACAUGCAAGCUCGAAUAGGAAACUGUCUACCACAAACCGAACGGAAACAGCCACAUAACAUGAUCACAUGCAACCCUUACCUCGGUUCUUCGCCCAAACCACACCUAAAAUCUAACAUGCAACCAUCAAAACAACAUGCAAGAGAAGUUAUGAACCCCCACUUGCCUUAAAGAAGAACACACAGCAACACACGGCGGCG
rnacentral:lncRNA from 1 species